GAAUCGAGCUCGUACUCGCGACUGCAUCUUAAUUAGAGUUUGAUCCUGGCCCAGAGUGUAACGCUGGCGGUAGGCCUAACACAUGCAAGUCGAACGGCAGCACAGGAGAGCUUGCUCUCUGGGUGGCGAGUGGCGGACGGGUGAGGAAUACAUCGGAAUCUACUCUGUCGUGGGGGAUAACGUAGGGAAACUUACGCUAAUACCGCAUACGACCUACGGGUGAAAGCAGGGGAUCUUCGGACCUUGCGCGAUUGAAUGAACCGAUGUCGGAUUAGCUAGUUGGCGGGGUAAAGGCCCACCAAGGCGACGAUCCGUAGCUGGUCUGAGAGGAUGAUCAGCCACACUGGAACUGAGACACGGUCCAGACUCCUACGGGAGGCAGCAGUGGGGAAUAUUGGACAAUGGGCGCAAGCCUGAUCCAGCCAUACCGCGUGGGUGAAGAAGGCCUUCGGGUUGUAAAGCCCUUUUGUUGGGAAAGAAAUCCAGCUGGCUAAUACCUGGUUGGGAUGACAGUACCCAAAGAAUAAGCA
rnacentral:rRNA from 1 species